AUCCUCCAAGGCUAAAUACUCCUGACUGACCGAUAGUGAACCAGUACCGUGAGGGAAAGGCGAAAAGAACCCCGGCGAGGGGAGUGAAAAAGAACCUGAAACCGUGUACGUACAAGCAGUGGGAGCACCUUCGGGUGUGACUGCGUACCUUUUGUAUAAUGGGUCAGCGACUUAUAUUCUGUAGCAAGGUUAACCGUAUAGGGGAGCCGCAGGGAAACCGAGUCUUAACUGGGCGUUAAGUUGCAGGGUAUAGACCCGAAACCCGGUGAUCUAGCCAUGGGCAGGUUGAAGGUUGGGUAACACUAACUGGAGGACCGAACCGACUAAUGUUGAAAAAUUAGCGGAUGACUUGUGGCUGGGGGUGAAAGGCCAAUCAAACCGGGAGAUAGCUGGUUCUCCCCGAAAGCUAUUUAGGUAGCGCCUCGUGAACUCAUCUUCGGGGGUAGAGCACUGUUUCGGCUAGGGGGUCAUCCCGACUUACCAACCCGAUGCAAACUACGAAUACCGAAGAAUGUUAUCACGGGAGACACACGGCGGGUGCUAACGUCCGUCGUGAAGAGGGAAACAACCCAGACCGCCAGCUAAGGUCCCAAAGUCAUGGUUAAGUGGGAAACGAUGUGGGAAGGCACAGACAGCCAGGAUGUUGGCUUAGAAGCAGCCAUCAUUUAAAGAAAGCGUAAUAGCUCACUGGUCGAGUCGGCCUGCGCGGAAGAUGUAACGGGGCUAAACCAUGCACCGAAGCUGCGGCAGCGACACUAUGUGUUGUUGGGUAGGGGAGCGUUCUGUAAGCCUGCGAAGGUGACCUGUGAGGGUUGCUGGAGGUAUCAGAAGUGCGAAUGCUGACAUAAGUAACGAUAAAGCGGGUGAAAAGCCCGCUCGCCGGAAGACCAAGGGUUCCUGUCCAACGUUAAUCGGGGCAGGGUGAGUCGACCCCUAAGGCGAGGCCGAAAGGCGUAGUCGAUGGGAAACAGGUUAAUAUUCCUGUACUUGGUGUUACUGCGAAGGGGGGACGGAGAAGGCUAUGUUAGCCGGGCGACGGUUGUCCCGGUUUAAGCAUGUAGGCUGGUUGUCCAGGCAAAUCCGGAUAAUCAAGGCUGAGGUGUGAUGACGAGGUACUACGGUGCUGAAGUAACAAAUGCCCUGCUUCCAGGAAAAGCCUCUAAGCAUCAGGUAACAUCAAAUCGUACCCCAAACCGACACAGGUGGUCAGGUAGAGAAUACCAAGGCGCUUGAGAGAACUCGGGUGAAGGAACUAGGCAAAAUGGUGCCGUAACUUCGGGAGAAGGCACGCUGGUGUGUAGGUGAAGUCCCUGCGGAUGGAGCUGAGACCAGUCGAAGAUACCAGCUGGCUGCAACUGUUUAUUAAAAACACAGCACUGUGCAAACACGAAAGUGGACGUAUACGGUGUGACGCCUGCCCGGUGCCGGAAGGUUAAUUGAUGGGGUUAUCCGUAAGGAGAAGCUCUUGAUCGAAGCCCCGGUAAACGGCGGCCGUAACUAUAACGGUCCUAAGGUAGCGAAAUUCCUUGUCGGGUAAGUUCCGACCUGCACGAAUGGCGUAAUGAUGGCCAGGCUGUCUCCACCCGAGACUCAGUGAAAUUGAACUCGCUGUGAAGAUGCAGUGUACCCGCGGCAAGACGGAAAGACCCCGUGAACCUUUACUAUAGCUUGACACUGAACAUUGAGCCUUGAUGUGUAGGAUAGGUGGGAGGCUUUGAAGCGUGGACGCCAGUCUGCGUGGAGCCAACCUUGAAAUACCACCCUUUAAUGUUUGAUGUUCUAACGUUGGCCCCUGACCGGGGUUGCGGACAGUGUCUGGUGGGUAGUUUGACUGGGGCGGUCUCCUCCCAAAGCGUAACGGAGGAGCACGAAGGUUAGCUAAUCCUGGUCGGACAUCAGGAGGUUAGUGCAAUGGCAUAAGCUAGCUUGACUGCGAGCGUGACGGCGCGAGCAGGUGCGAAAGCAGGUCAUAGUGAUCCGGUGGUUCUGAAUGGAAGGGCCAUCGCUCAACGGAUAAAAGGUACUCCGGGGAUAACAGGCUGAUACCGCCCAAGAGUUCAUAUCGACGGCGGUGUUUGGCACCUCGAUGUCGGCUCAUCACAUCCUGGGGCUGAAGUAGGUCCCAAGGGUAUGGCUGUUCGCCAUUUAAAGUGGUACGCGAGCUGGGUUUAGAACGUCGUGAGACAGUUCGGUCCCUAUCUGCCGUGGGCGCUGGAGAAUUGAGGGGGGCUGCUCCUAGUACGAGAGGACCGGAGUGGACGCAUCACUGGUGUUCGGGUUGUCAUGCCAAUGGCACUGCCCGGUAGCUAAAUGCGGAAGAGAUAAGUGCUGAAAGCAUCUAAGCACGAAACUUGCCCCGAGAUGAGUUCUCCCUGAGACUUUAAGUCUCCUGAAGGAACGUUAAAGACGAUGACGUUGAUAGGCCGGGUGUGUAAGCGCAGCGAUGCGUUGAGCUAACCGGUACUAAUGAACCGUGAGGCUUAACCUU
rnacentral:rRNA from 1 species